rnacentral:rRNA from 1 species
UACGUAGGGUGCGAGCGUUAAUCGGAAUUACUGGGCGUAAAGCGUGCGCAGGCGGUCUGUUAAGACAGAUGUGAAAUCCCCGGGCUUAACCUGGGAACUGCAUUUGUGACUGGCAGGCUAGAGUAUGGCAGAGGGGGGGGGUAGAAUUCCACGUGUAGCAGUGAAAUGACGUAGAGAUGUGGAGGAAUACCGAUGGCGAAGGCAGCCCCCUGGGCCAAUACUGACGCUCAUGCACGAAAGCGUGGGGAGCAAACAGGAUUAGAGUACCC